AACGAACGUUGGCGGCGUGGAUUAGGCAUGCAAGUCGAACGAAUCCCAGUCUUGUAGCAAUACCGGACUGGGGGAAGUGGCGAAAGGGGCAGUAAUACAUGGGUAACCCGUACCCCGGGGGACGGGGAUAGCCAUUCUAACGAGUGGGUAAUACCUGGCGAUUUGGCGGAGGGGCAUCUCUCUGCCAGGAAAUGAAUUUCGCCUCGGGAGGGGCUCAUGCGAUAUUAGCUAGUUGGUGGGGUGACGGCCCACCAAGGCAAUGAUGUCUAGCAGGUGUGAGAGCACGACCUGCGCCACUGGCACUGAGACACUGGCCAGACACCGUACGGGUGGCUGCAGUCGAGGAUCUUCGGCAAGUGGG
rnacentral:rRNA from 1 species